rnacentral:rRNA from 1 species
UGAGGAAUAUUGGUCAAUGGGCGAGAGCCUGAACCAGCCAAGUAGCGUGCAGGAAGACGGCCCUAUGGGUUGUAAACUGCUUUUAUGUGGGGAUAAAGUGCGUGACGUGUCAUGCAUUGCAGGUACCACAUGAAUAAGGACCGGCUAAUUCCGUGCCAGCAGCCGCGGUAAUACGGAAGGUCCGGGCGUUAUCCGGAUUUAUUGGGUUUAAAGGGAGCGUAGGCUGUCUAUUAAGCGUGUUGUGAAAUAUACCGGCUCAACCGGUGGCUUGCAGCGCGAACUGGUCGACUUGAGUAUGCAGGAAGUAGGCGGAAUUCAUGGUGUAGCGGUGAAAUGCUUAGAUAUCAUGACGAACUCCGAUUGCGCAGGCAGCUUACUGUAGCAUAACUGACGCUUAAGCUCGAAGGUGCGGGUAUCGAACAGG